rnacentral:lncRNA from 1 species
UUUUUCUACAGGGUGUAUUUGUGGUGCCAAAGAAGAAAGUAUGCAGCUACUUGAGAAUAGAGAACUCUUGCAAGUAAACCUGGAGAGUAAGGAUUCAGAGUGGAAUGGCAGUCUAUUCACUGGAGGGAAAAAGUUGAAGUGUGAAGCCUGAUGGUGAGCCUAGACUGAGCAGACACCAAAUUGAACAGAAAGCAAUGUGAUUUUUCAGAAAUGAG